UCAUAGCUUGAAACUUAAAGCCCAUCAGCCACCCUAUCCACAAAAAUGAAAAGUGGUAGGAAAGUAGUUUACAUUUCCAGAACCUUAAAAAAUGAUGAGAAGACACUGAAGUAAUAAAGAACUACCAGAGAUAAGAUGCAUUCAAAGAUGUGCUAGCCAAUAUUACUCCCUCUUUUUUCCCCGAUUGUUUUUUUCAAUGCAUUUCUUAUGUGAUUUAGACAUUACUGUGCAAGAACCAAAUGAGGUGGCUUUUUCAUGUAAUGUUUCAACACUAAGUUACUUAGAAGGCAAAAGACUUGUCAGGAAGAAAUAAGCCUACACGCAAAAAAGAGAGAAGUUAAUUGUACCUGAAAAUUCUCCGUGUGCAACUGUUAUCUAAUACUGCUUACAAAUAAAGCAGGAAAAAAUAACAACAAAUAAACCUAUUUGUGAAAGGUGAUAAAAUAGCAAAUGAGAGGCAAAAUGAGAAGGUAAAAUGAACUUAUUAACUAAAGGAAUUAGGGAUUACUACGUUGUCAUCACACGUCAUGAAGAAUACAUCUCAGUCCAUAGUAUCUUAUUAAAUUAAAAAAUAAUGUAUCACAAAAUAUUAUCUACAAUUAAUACAAAUUGUAUUUCUACCACCUGAUACAAUUCCUGCAGCAUAGUAGCAAGUCAUUAACCAUGUGUUAAAUAAAUGUUAAAAAACAAGAAGGUGCCUGGGUGUGUGGGGCUAGAAAGGAAAUAUCCCCAUGGCACACACUAAUGAUAAACACUGGUAAAAUUAGAAAUGAUUUUUCUUCUUUGUGUUUUUCUGCAUUUUUCAUGUUAUCUACAAUGAACACAUAUUAUUCAAGUAAUUAUUAUAAGUACUUAAAAAACCCACUCCAGGUCGGGCACGGUGGCUCACGUCUGUAAUCCCAGUACUGUGGGAGGCCAAGGCGGGUGGAUCACCUGAGGUCAGGAGUUCGAGACCAGCCUGGCCAACAUGGCAAAACCCCAUCUCUACUAAAAGUACAAAAAUUACCCAGGAGUGGUGGUGGGCACCUGUAAUCCCAGCUACUUGGGAGGCUAAGGGUGGAGAAUUGCUUGAACCCAGGAGGCGGAGGUUGCAGUGAGCCAAGAUCGCGCCACUGCACUCCAGCCUGGGUGACAAGAGCAAAAUUCGAUCUCAAAAAAAAAAAAAAAAAAAAAAAAGAAAAAGAAAAACCCACUCCAACAUUGGCACUGGGAUUGAGGAACAGGGCUUAUUUUUGACCUUUGUGUUUUCGAUUUAUCAGCAAAAAGAGAAACCAAAAACGCCCCUCUUGUUUUGAUGAGUAUCCAUUCACAUGACCUCAGAUAAAAAAAGGGAAAUGGCCUCAACAAAAUACCCAAGUAGCAUAUGUCUCUCCUUAUUGUUUUUAAACCCACAUUAGAGGAAAAAGACACUUAAAAAUACAGGUUGAACAGAGCAACAUCUUCUAGGAAGCAACUUUUUCUUCAGGAUUCCAUGCAUUAUUGAAAGGCUUUAAAAGCCAGUUUGGAAUUUUCCAUCAAGAACAAAUAAAACAUUUGAAUCAGAUCCUUGAUUCUCAAAUAUCCUGCCGUUGACACAUCCAGCCUGUUUU
rnacentral:lncRNA from 10 species